GCUAACGAUGUGCCUGGUUGUGAUCUAGUGUGUUCAAAAUACACUUCCAAAAACUUUACCAAUGUCAAUGGUGUUGCAGACGAAACAUUGCCAAACAUCAAACUUACUGUGAUAUUUGGAGCAUUUUUUGCCUUACUUGUGAUUUUCAUCAUCGUCCUAAUCAUUUGCUUUUUCUCAAAGAAAAUUAAUUCUCACCAAGAAACCACAAGUGACAAAAUGAAAACAUACGAAACAAAAUAUAGUGAAAGUGUAGCUUACAAAGCAGAAUCAAAUAACAACAUCGUAUUUUUGCCAAUGAGUAAAGUUACACAUGGAAAAACAGGCAGCUAUACACAACUGGAUGGAUGCGAAAAGGAAGAGAGUAGACGUAAUGGUAAUAAUUGUGAAGAGAAUGUCUAAUCAAUUACUUAUCAACAAACUUGAGUGCAGAUAGAUUAUAACAUGUAGAUAGAUAGUCAAUACAUGGUAAAGCUUGAGUUGCAAACGAUAUAUAUGUUAUUUAAUUUUUUGUUUUGAAAUUGAUGUAAUUUACGUGAAUGUAUUUAUGUUUCUUGUUGCCACCACCAAACAUUAAUAUUUAUAGCCGUAACAUGAGGCCACCUUAAUUUAUAUUCGUUGUAAAUAUUGCAAGCGUGCGUGGGUAUGUUUGGAGACGAUUUUUUAAACCUAUUCUGUAAUUAUAAUGCAAUUGGAAUUUCACGAUUGGAACUUUUAACGCUUUCUCCAUUUCAAACAGAAAAUAAACAGUAGUCUCACGUUGAA